rnacentral:miRNA from 1 species
UCGUAUUUCUUCUUUCU